GUGGCUAAGGUGUAGCAGGUGUGCAUAACUGUUUGUGAAACAGAAGGCAUGAGGGUUCGAGUCCCUCUAGUCACCCCA
rnacentral:tRNA from 1 species